rnacentral:rRNA from 1 species
GGGCCCGCACAAGCGGUGGAGCAUGUGGUUUAAUUCGAUGAUACGCGAGGAACCUUACCAGGGCUUAAAUGUAGAUUGCAUAAGCUAGAGAUAGCUUUUUCUUCGGACUAUCUACAAGGUGCUGCAUGGUUGUCGUCAGCUCGUGCCGUGAGGUGUCAGGUUAAGUCCUAUAACGAGCGCAACCCCUGUCGUUAGUUGCCAACAGGUUAUGCUGGGAACUCUAACGAGACUGCCGGUGCAAACUGAGAGGAAGGUGGGGACGACGUCAAAUCAUCACGGCCCUUACGUCCUGGGCUACACACGUGCUACAAUGGUCGGUACAGAGAGCAGCCACCUUGCGAAAGGGAGCAAAUCUUUAAAACCGGUCUCAGUUCGGAUCGCAGUCUGCAACUCGACUGCGUGAAGCUGGAAUCGCUAGUAAUCG